rnacentral:lncRNA from 1 species
GCAGAGCUUGAAGCUGCUGCUAGCCUCUCAAGUGUACAAUUUCUUUUGUGUCGGAUUGGUUUUACGGUUUGCUGUUGUUGGUCGGAUAUUGUGUUUAAUCUUUUCUUGUUGGGAAUAAUCCACCACCCAAGGGGAUCAAGGUUUGUAGAAUAUUGUUGUUUGUUCAAAGGCUAUAAUAAAAAGUGUUUCUCUUUUUACUAGUAUCAUUUAUAAGUUUUUAUUUAUUAUGAGCUCCUUGGUUUCUUUUGGGCCCAGUGGGUUUCAGGGUUGGUCCUGGGACCAAUUUGAUUUGUGAGAAUUCAGUGAAACUUCACCGAAAAAUUGCAGUUUUCGGAGCAUUUUGGUAGACACGAUUUCACUGUUUUUAUAUGGAUCCCAUGAUCGCGACUGGCUCUUCGGCUCUUUAUUUUGACUGUUACUUCGUAGAUUAUUGCCCCGCGCUCCUCUUGUUGCGCUCACCUAUACAAGCCACGACACCAUCUGCAUCUGCACCAUGCGUCAACGCCGCACACCCUACCGGACUCCAACUCGACUACCUCGUCUCAAGUCAGGUCCCAGCGGUUCCUUGCAACUCCCCACUCCAUUAGCUAUGCCGACAUCAUGUGGUCACCAUUUCUUUCUUUUUUUGAAAAUACCAAACCUAUUAUAAAGAUUCACCGGGAGUACAAAGCACAUCAAACAUAACAAAAAUCACAUCGAGGACGCUCUCUCCGCUCCCAUACCGAAGCCGGCCUGACCUUGUUGAUUACAGUCGGGAAGUCUUCGUGCACGUGCCCUCAAGGACCAGCAUUCGGGAGCCGCGGUCGUCGCCAUUGAAUUCUUGAAUCGAUCUAAAAAAACCGGACACUAAAUCUAGCUAUUGCAUACGCACAACGAGAAACCCUAACCUCGCCGCUCUGUGGAGUUGGCAGGAAUCUACGUCGGAGCUCCGUCUAAUCCGUCCUGACAAACGAACUUGAGGAAGAUCGGAGCCCGGAAGACUGACUCAAAAAAGAAGUGUCGCCAUCCAUCUGAGCGCCGUCCUUGCGAGAACCAAUAUCCUACGUGUAUAAGUUGAGGCACCAGGAAUACCCUCCUGUCACCGGACGCCGCAGCGGCAGGCCAAGGGGAGGCGAAUCCACAGGCCCAUCGGGGAUCGAAGGAAAGAAGGCUUUCCCUAGUCGCCUCAACCUACCCUACCAUCUGCGUCUACGUAGUCGCUUGUCUGCACCGUGUAGGCAUCAACUCAAAGACAAUGCGCUCCUCUCAACCGAGGCGGGUGUAGGCACCUCUUGGUUGGCUAGGUUGGGGAGCAACUACAAUAGAAAAGAGGCUUGUGGUAGAAAAAUAGAAAAACGGAACUGGACCAUCGGAUGGGAGACUGAUGGCCUAGAUUUAGGUGGAGCAAUCUGUCCGGAUAAUUUGCAAAAAGGUCCUUCCCUGCAAGCUAAUUUGGUCUCAGUGCCCUCGUCGUUCAAUCCCAAAUCCCCUACAGAGCAGCAUUCCCAAUGCUGGCGGCUGCGGCCCAGAUCCCUCCUCAAGCUGGCGAGUUCAGAAAAUCUCUGAUGGCUGCUGGUGUCGUGUCGCCGACGGUGCAGUUUGAGGUAGACAAAAUCAAAUCUCCCCGGCUAAUAAGCUCCGCCCCACAGUUUGCUCGUCAAUCUCGUAGCCUCUGAUCUGAAUCUCCGAUAGCACUUGGUUCGUCGCCUCCUCUCUCUCUUUCAGGCACAUCAACUCAUGACCUCCUCCCCCUCGUUAGCGGCAAGCCGGUGGUGAGCUCCUCGGGUCCUUCCCAACCGCCCAAUGUGACUUGGUGUAAACCUACAAAUCUUCAACACGGUUGUUCAUUUUCCUGGUAAAUAGUAGUAACCAAGAUAUCCGACCCCCUUGAAAAAUUAGUGAUGUCUCAGAGGCUAAAAUAGACACUUAAAUGUGUGUGAAUUUCAUGAAGUAAUAUUUGCAAAUAUUUUUGUAUCAAACUAAGAUGAGAUGGGCAUCAACACUGUGCAUAUCUGAAAAUGGUCAUAUUUCACAAAGACUCAAGGUCUAUACUGCAAAUAUGCUAUUUCAUAUCUAACCUUUUGUAGGGGGUUUUCUGUGAAAAGUACAUUAAGUGGUCUGAGAUCCCCCACCUAAAUCUGGGCCAUCCGUCUCCCAUCUAGUGGUCCAGAUCAGUUUUUUCUAUUUUUCUACUACAAGUCUAGAUUCUAUUGUAGUCUUUCUGUGACGCCCCCGAUUCAAUCGUACACUAAUCAUACACGCAAACGUGUACGAUCAAGAUCAGGGACUCACGGGAAGAUAUCACAACACUACUCUAAAACAUAAAUAAGUCAUACAAGCAUCAUAAUACAAGCCAGGGGCCUCGAGGGCUCGAAUACAAGUGCUCGAUCAUAGACGAGUUAGCGGAAGCAAAAAUAUCUGAGUACAGACAUAAGUUAAACAAGUUGCCAUAAGAUGGCUAGCACAAACUGGGAUACAGAUCGAAAGAGGCGCAGGCCUCCUGCCUGGGAUCCUCCUAACUACUCCUGGUCGUCGUCAACGGGCUGCACGUAGUAGUAGGCACCUCCGGUGUAGUAGGAGUCGUCGUCGACGGCGGCGUCUGGCUCCUGGGCUCCAGCAUCUGGUUGCGACAACCAGGUAGAAAGGAAAGAGGGAAAAGAGGGAGAAAAGCAACCGUGAGUACUCAUCCAAAGUACUCGCAAGCAAGGAGCUACACUACAUAUGCAUGGGUAUAUGCGUAAAGGGCCAUAUCGGUGGACUGAACUGCAGAAUUCCAGAAUAAGAGGGGGAUAGCUAAUCUUGUCGAAGACUACGCUUCAGGCCACCUCCAUCUUGCAGCAUGUAGAAGAGAGUAGAUGGUAAGUUCACCAAGUAGCAUCGCAUAGCAUAAACCUACCCGGCGAUCCCCUCCUCGUCGCCCUGUUAGAGAGCGAUCACCGGGUUAUAUCUGGCACAUGGAAGGGUGUGUUUUAUUAAGUAUCCGGUUCUAAUUGUCAUAAGAUCAAGGUACAACUCCGGGUCGUCCUUUUACCGAGGGACACGGCUAUUCGAAUAGAUAAACUUCCCUGCAGGGGUGCACACCACAUAACCCAACACGCUCGAUCCCCUUUGGUCGGACACACUUUCCUGGGUCAUGCCUGGCCUCGGAAGAUCAACACGUCUCAGCCCCACCUAGGCUCAACAGAGAGGUCAGCACGCCGGUCUAAAUCCUAUGCACGCAGGGGACUGGGCCCAUCGCCCAUUGCACACCUGCACGUUGCGUACGCGGCCGGAAGCAGACCUAGCCCCCUUAAUACAAGCGCGAGCUUACGGUCCAAUGCGGCGCGCGCCACUCAGUCGCUUACGUCAAAAAGAGCUUCGGCUGAUACCACGACGCCGAGUGCCCAUAACUGUUCCCGCGUAGUUGGUUAGUGCGUAUAGACCAAAUGGCCAGACUCGGAUCAAAUACCAAGAACUCGUUAAGCGUGUUAUUAUUAAGUAUCCGCGGACGCCGACCAGGGCCAGGCCCACCUCUCUCCUAGGUGGUCUCAACCCGCCCUGUCGCUCCGCCACAAAGUAACAGUCGGGGGCCGUCAGGAACCCAGGCCCACCUCUACCGCGAUGGAGCCACCUGUCCUUUCAGCCCCCUCAUCAGAAUCACUUGCGGGUACUCAACGAGCUGACCCGACUUUAGUCACCACAUGAGUCAUGUAUAUAAAGUAUAUACUGUUGGGGAUCGUAGCAGAAUUUAAAAUUUUUCUACGCAUCACCAAGAUCCAUCUAUGGAGUAUACUAGGAACGAGGGGAAAGGAGUGCAUCUACAUACCCUUGUAGAUCGCGAGCGGAAGCGUUCCAAUGAACGGGGUUGAUGGAGUCGUACUCGCCGUGAUCCAAAUCACCGAUGACUGAGUGCCGAACGGACGGCACCUCCGCGUUCAACACACGUACGGAGCAGCGACGUCUCCUCCUUCUUGAUCCAGCAAGGGGGAAGGAGAGGUUGAUGGAGAUCCAGCAGCACGAUGGCGUGGUGGUGGAAGUAGCGGGGUCUCGGCAGGGCUUCGCCAAGCUUCUGCGAGAGGGAGAGGUGUUGCAGGGGGAGAGGGAGGCGCCAGGGGCUGUCAUGUUGCUGCCCUCCCCCCCACUAUUUAUAGGACCCCUGGAGGGGGGCACCGGCCCUGGAACCCAUCUGCAUGGGGGCGGCGGCCAGGGGGGAGAUUUGCCCCCAAGGCAAGUGGGGCGCCCCCCCACCCUAGGGUUUCCAACCCUAGGCGCAGGGGGGAGGCCCAUGGGGGGCGCCCCAGCCCACUAAGGGCUGGUUCCCUUCCCACUUCAGCCCAUGGGGCCCUCCGGGAUAGGUGGCCCCACCCGGUGGACCCCCGGGACCCUUCCGGUGGUCCCGGUACACUACCGGUGACCCCCGAAACUUUCCCGGUGGCCGAAACUUGACUUCCUAUAUAUAAUUCUUCACCUCCGGACCAUUCCGGAACUCCUCGUGACGUCCGGGAUCUCAUCCGGGACUCCGAACAACUUUCGGGUUUCCGCAUACUCAUAUCUCUACAACCCUAGCGUCACCGAACCUUAAGUGUGUAGACCCUACGGGUUCGGGAGACAUGCAAACAUGAUCGAGACGCCUCUCCGGUCAAUAACCAACAGCGGGAUCUGGAUACCCAUGUUGGCUCCCACAUGUUCCACGAUGAUCUCAUCGGAUGAACCACGAUGUCGAGGAUUCAAUCAAUCCCGUAUACAAUUCCCUUUGUCAAUCGGUAUGUUACUUGCCCGAGAUUCGAUCGUCGGUAUCCCAAUACCUUGUUCAAUCUCGUUACCGGCAAGUCACUUUACUCGUACCGUAAUGCAUGAUCCCGUGGCUAACUCCUUAGUCACAUUGAGCUCAUUAUGAUGAUGCAUUACCGAGUGGGCCCAGAGAUACCUCUCCGUCAUACGGAGUGACAAAUCCCAGUCUCGAUCCGUGUCAACCCAACAGACACUUUCAGAGAUACCCGUAGUGUACCUUUAUAGUCACCCAGUUACGUUGUGACGUUGGGUACACCCAAAGCACUCCUACGGCAUCCGGGAGUUACACGAUCUCAUGGUCUAAGGAAAAGAUACUUGACAUUGGAAAAGCUCUAGCAAACGAACUACACGAUCUUUUAUGCUAUGCUUAGGAUUGGGUCUUGUCCAUCACAUCAUUCUCCUAAUGAUGUGAUCCCGUUAUCAACGACAUCCAAUGUCCAUGGUCAGGAAACCGUAACCAUCUAUUGAUCAACGAGCUAGUCAACUAGAGGCUUACUAGGGACAUGGUGUUGUCUAUGUAUCCACACAUGUAUCUGAGUUUCCUAUCAAUACAAUUCUAGCAUGGAUAAUAAACGAUUAUCAUGAACAAGGAAAUAUAAUAAUAACCAAUUUAUUAUUGCCUCUAGGGCAUAUUUCCAACAUAUAGUAUAUACCCGUGAUCACCUCCCGAAGUGAUCACGGCCCAGUAGUAUAGCAUGGCAGACGGACAAGAGUGUAGGGCCAUUGAUGGAACACUAGCAUCCUAUACUAAGCAGUAGGAUAGCAGGUAAGGGUAACAACUGUAGCAACAAUGAUAGGCUAUGCAGCAGAAUAGGAUUAACCGAAAGCAGUAACAUGCUACACUCUUCUAAUGCAAGCAGUAUAGAGAAGAAUAUGCGAUAUCUGGUGAUUAGGGGGGGGCUUGCCUGGAAGCUCCGCUGAAAGGGAAGAAGGGUCGUCGUCGACGUAGUCGAUCACAGGGACAUCAGCAGCGGUCUCGGGGUCUACCGGAGAAGAAGAGGGGGAAGAAACAGUAAAUAUAAGGCACACAGAUGCAUGGCAUGACAAUAAGCAGCACUAGGCGUGUUCUAACGUAGCACUACGCGGUACCGGCGAAGGGGGAUAACAUCCGGGAAAGUUUUCCCGAAGUUUGUCAUUAUCGGACAGAUGAAACGGAGGGGAAAGGUUGCAUGUUCGCUAUGCUAGGGGCACGUGACAGAUGAACGGAGAGCGUAUUUGAAUUCGUCUCGUCGUUCCGAGCAACUUUCAUGUAUAAAACUUUUUCAUCCGAGUUACGGAUUAUUUUCUAAGAUUUUUCAAAGAUUUAACAAUACCCGGAAAAAUCCUGAAAUUUUGCUAAGUCUGAGAAUUCGUCAGUUUUUAACAUCACUUAGCUGUUUUUAAAAGGCUACAGCUAUCGUUCUGUCCAUCCUGUAAAUUAGUGCCUUAUAUCAAAUCUGAGCACUUUGCUGUGAUCUAAAUGACAGUAUCAAGUGCAGCUAUGUUAGCAUCCAUUUUCUUGAUCAAAACUUUGUUGGAAAAGUGCUACUGCAACAUUUCUGUUUCUGCUUUUCAGUUAACAGAACGUAGUAAUUUGUGAUUUUUGUAGGAUUUAAUCCGCGCAUCAAAUGGACUCUGUCCAGUGGGGUAUAUUGAAGCUUGUCAUGUAUAAUUUCUACACAUAUUAUUUUCAGUCAUGUUAACAACUGUUUAACCAUAGUUUAAGGGCUGUCUAGGGGGUUACUCAUUGUAGAUUUAGAAAAGCUAGAACCAUCUACAGUAGCAAGCAGCGGUACAGUAGAGCAGGAGCAAGCGGGCGAGGGCGCUGCAGCAGGGGAGUCAAGGCUGUGCGCGAGGCGGACGGGCGCGCGUACGCGCAGGUGCGGUCGGGGUGCUCCGGCGGGCGCGCGCAGGAAGCGCCGGCGACAGCAGCAGCCAGUAGAGCAGCUGCUUGCGGCAGCUGCAACAGCAAUAGGCAGGGCAAGUAGCAGCGGCAGUAGCAUCAGGUAGCAGGAGCGGCAGCUAGCAGCGGCAACGCAAAGCAUUAGCGCUAGCAGCGGCGGCGGCAAAGCGAAGGCAGCAGCAAGGACAGAGAGCAGUGGCAGGAUGCACGCAUGUACGCGUACGCGUACGCGGGAUCUCGGACGAACUCGGGGACGACGGCUAUGGCAACGGAUCGAGAGGGCAAGCAAGGGGAAUGGGGGAGGAGCUCACAGUGCAUCCUUGGCGUGCUCAGGGAGGGUCGGGGUGGACCGGAGCCACCGCAACGAUGGCGAGUUGGUGACGGCCGGACGAAGGGGACGAAGACAACGUCAGCUCGAGGGCGUCCCGGCUUGAGCUAGUCCCCAGGACGGACGAAGCCGGGCGCGGCGGACCUCCUGGACGUGCUCCCGCACGCCGGAGACGACGGUGGCCGCGACGAUGACGGCGAGAGGCGUCGGGCGCGAGAGUGGCAGAGGGAGAGGGGGGCGCGAGGGGAUAGGGGUUAGAGUUCCAAGGGGAGAAGGGGGCGCCGGGGUCGGCUAAAUAGGCGGGAUGGGGCGCCGAUGGUCGCCACCGUGGCCAUGGCGCCGUGGAUGGCCGCCACGGCAUCGUCUGCUUCUGUAGCGGGAGGAAGGGGAAAACAGGGGGGUGUUGGGCUGGGCUGUGCAGGCCUGCUAGAUAGAUGGGCCGGGUGGCCCAAGGAAGGGGGCUUUGUUUUAUUUCUGUUUUCUUUUCUUUUAUUUUCUUUUUACAUGUUUAUUUAACUUCACAAUACUUUAGUUAGUUAAAAUACAAAAGUAGUUUCUAAAUUAUUGUACUAUUUAUACCUCUGCCACAAAAAGUUCUAGUCCUAAAUAAAAUAGUUUGCUAAUUUAUAAAAUAAGAAAAGGCAUUUAACUAAUUGUUUUAGCUACUGUUUUCAUUAAUUUUGAGCACUUAAACAUUUUUAAAAAAUGUGGUUUCUUCACCAACAAUACUUAUGAAUUAUUUACCACAGUUGCACAUUUUAGAUUUGACAUUUGAAAACUCUUAUUGUUUGACUUUAUUUUAAACUUGAAUUUCGAAUUGGUUAGAAUCAACGUGGGACCUAGCAACAGUAAAAGCGAUGACAUGGCAUCAUUAGCAAAGAUUACUGUAGCUUAAUUAUCCGGGCGUUACAAUUCUCCUCCACUACAAGAAAUCUCGUCCCGAGAUUUAAGAGGUAGAGUUAAAAGGAAGAAAUUGGUUACGAAAUUCUAACGAGUCUUCUCGAUCUUGGUUGUUCUUUUCGAAGCGGUCGAUCCAUUACGUUGAUGUCUUCAUUUCUCUGCUUCAGGUCAUCAUGAUGAAGUAGGCAUCCUUUCUUCAGGUUCUUCAUCGUACUUACGAAAGGGUAAGAAGGGAAAACUCUAUAAGGACGGAUUCUAACAAGAUCGAGCAUCAGACGGUUAACUCAGGGGAAGAAGCAUAAGUACCUCUCGAAUUGUAACUUAAGAAGAUAUCGAGAGCAAAGUAAGAAGGUACCAUGAGAAGUUUCAAAUGGAUAGGCAAUCGUUCGAUGCCUAAUCAGAAGGUGAAAGGGUUCCAGAGCAACGAGAAUAAGUAUUGUGUCUGAUACCAGAAUAGAUUACUAGGGAGGUGACCCCGUGAAUUACAUACGAAGUCAAGCGCGAGGAAUAACUUUGGAGACAGGGAUAUACAGAAGAGUCAGGUUUCGAUCCUGUGGAACUGUGGGUUAUGGGCCCACCAUGUGAGUUAACGGUAGGAAGGGCGGUGGUAUUUUGCACAGUCAUGAUAACAAGGCAUGUCAGAGGGUAGCCUGUCAGUUAUGUCGGCUACAGCAUCGGUACCAAGGGCGAGGGACGAAGAGAACCCUUUUCCUGCUCGUUGAACGAGGCGGACCAUUAGGCAAAGUUCUCGUCCAUCGGUGGAUACCGGAAUGUCAUCAACAAUAGUAACAUGUUCUUACUGACAGAGUUGUACACCGAGGUGCUUACAAAAGCAGUGACUUAUUACUACUUAGAUCAUAUAAAUCACCAGAAAGGUUAAACAAAACAAUGCAAAGGAAAAGGUGAUCAUCAGAUUAAAUAGAACAAUGGAAAGGAAAAUAAGUUUAAACACAUUAUUCAGGGGUAUAUCCUUCCCAAGGACAAACAGAGCAUGAUAUCCAUGACAUGAUAUAAUGUGGAAAACCAUUUAGGAAAGGGGGGAGAAAUUUCAUGACAUUACCCAUACAACGGUGUUUGGAUAAUUUGAUAAAGAAAAUUCAGUAUGGUGCUUCAGAUGUUCUUAUUGAAAAUCGGAGUACCACAUACAUGCUUCGAGAUAGCAUUGACAUGAUCUUCAGGCAAAGGUCAGACUCUAGAUACACAAAGGACCUAUUAGGAACAACUUAUAGAAUAAGUCUUACAAUUUCCUCAUGGAAGAAUGGUUAACCUUGCUAAAGAGGAAACUAUAAUAAUAGGUCCUCCGGCCAGGUGUGCUAGGCAUGACAUCACCUUAAUGGGCCAUAUAACGACAAAAUGUUAUAACUCUUGGGAAUAUGAUCCAACCAUCAUAUCUGACCAAGAUUCAGAUCUGAUUGGUGUCAGGAUACCUCAGACUCAGGAUGCUUGAAAAUAAAAGGUGCAACACCAAUUGACGAAUUGACGUUGCAAGAUUCUCGGGAAAUGGCGUCCAGAAGCAAGGCUCUGAAACAAGGGUUCAUCAUUAAACCAAGGAGAGGAUGAUGAGGUGGCUGAUGGGCUAAGGACAAUUCAUCGAGAUUCCCAAAAGAUGGAUUUCCACAAUUAUGUGAACAAGGAGAUAACAUUCGUCAGAUCAAAUGAUAUAAGGAUGUAUGCUCGAGGAAAACAUACACAAUCAAACAUUGGUUGAAAUGUGCGCCCGAAAUAUGGGCUGGGUUGCACGAUCAAUGUUUAGACUGGUAAUUCAAUAACCGGUAGGCUAAGAAUGAACUAUCGAUCAUUCAUUUCAAAGCAAUAGGGUUGCUAGAAGAGCAGAAUCCAAACAGCACCGUGCACUUGUUGGUACCCCGGUUAGAACCAACACGGGGACCAAGAAAGAAUGAUGAUGGGGAGAAGCAUCACUAUACCAAGAAUUCUUAAGAGGUGGAGCAAUCUCAAGACAUUCCUGACAUAAAAGAUGGUAAUACUCCAAGGUAAAGAAGAACUAAGGCUGGAUAGCAAGGAUCUCAAGGUACAACACAAAACACGAACAAGUUUGUGUUGAACGGAAGGCAAUAAAGUGGUCAAUGAUAACACAAAUCAUCGGGGGCAAGGAUGGUAUUUCUCAUCAUGAAUUCAAGUGCUAUCCUGGAAGAGCUCAGAAUGCCGAUGAUGAUCACGACACAUUUGUCGAUAGAUUUCAUGAAGAUGUAAUCGAUUGGCGAUGACAUCAAGUCAAAGGAAUGAUGAAGCGAAAGGAUAUUGGAACCAUGGGUAUGACACAAAUUCGAAAUCAAGCUUGCUGUUCAAGGUGAAAUGGUAUUAUGGGGAAGAUCGACGUAAGAUUUGCUCACCGUCGAAAGUUGUGCUCCGGGAAGAAGGACCGGGUGGCACAGUUUAAAAUUUAGCACGAUAAUGAUAUAGCCAAUCAGGCUAGGAAUGACGUGUUUGGGUACAAACUCGUAAGUAAAGAAGAUUACUAAAGUUGUUGAACCGUAGUGCGGACUCAGUUCAGUUAUCGGUGUCUUUGAGUGUUUAAUAACUGAGAGCCCGUGAAAAAUUGGAAUCAGUGAGAAUGUAGUACUUGAUGAAGAACUCAUAAGAAGUUAUGAUGUUUUGUGUUUAUCUCGAGAUACCAGGGGGUAAUACUCGACGAUAGAUUAAAGUAAAAGGUUGGACAGGUGCAAUGUGAAGGAAAUAUGCCCUAGAGGCAAUAAUAAAAGUAUUAUUUAUUUCCUUGUAUCAUGAUAAAUGUUUAUUAUUCAUGCUAGAAUUGUAUUAACCGGAAACAUAAUACAUGUGUGAAUAUAUAGACAAACAGAGUGUCACUAGUAUGCCUCUACUUGACUAGCUCGUUAAUCAAAGAUGGUUAUGUUUCCUAGCCAUAGACAUAAGUUGUCAUUUGAUUUACGAGAUCACCUCAUUAGGAGAAUGACGUGAUUGACUUGACCCAUUCCGUUAGCUUAGCACUCGAUCGUUUAGUAUGUUGCUAUUGCUUUCUUCAUGACUUAUACAUGUUCCUAUGACUAUGAGAUUAUGCAACUCCCGUUUACCGGAGGAACACUUUGUGUGCUACCAAACGUCACAACGUAAAUGGGUGAUUAUAAAGGUGCUCUACAGGUGUCUCCAAAGGUACUUGUUGGGUUGGCGUAUUUCGAGAUUAGGAUUUGUCACUCCAAUUGCCGGAGAGGUAUCUCUGGGCCCACUCGGUAAUGCACAUCACUAUAAGCCUUGCAAGCAUUGUGACUAAUGAGUUAGUUGCGGGAUGAUGUGUUACGGAACGAGUAAAGAGACUUGCCGGUAACGAGAUUGAACUAGGUAUCGAGAUACCGACGAUCAAAUCUCGAGCAAGUAACAUACCGGUGACAAAGGGAACAACGUAUGUUGUUAUGCGGUCUGACCGAUAAAGAUCUUCGUAGAAUAUGUGGGAGCCAAUAUGGGCAUCCAGGUCCCGCUAUUGGUUAUUGACCGGAGACGUGUCUCAGUCAUGUCUACAUAGUUCUCGAACCCGUAGGGUCCGCACGCUUAACGUUACGAUGACAGUUUUAUUGAGUUUUGAUGUACCGAAGGAGUUCGGAGUCCCGGAUGAGAUCGGGGAUAUGACGAGGAGUAUUGAAAUGGUCGAGACGUAAAAAUCGAUAUAUUGGACGACUAUAUUCAGACUUCGGAAAGGUUCCGAGUGAUUCGGGUAUUUUUCGGAGUACCGGAGAGUUACGGGAAUUCGUAUUGGGCCUUAAUGGGCCAUACGGGAAAGGAGAGAAAGGCCUCAAAAGGUGGCCGCACCCCUCCCCAUGGUCUGGUUCGAAUUGGACUAGGGAAGGGGGGCGCACCCUUCCUUCUUUCUCCUUCGCCCUUCCCUUCUCCUACUCCCACAAGGAAAAGAGGAGUCCUACUCCCGGUGGGAGUAGGACUCCCCCCAUGGCGCGCCUCUCCCCUUGGCCGGCUGCCUCCCCCUUGCUCCUUUAUAUACGGGGGCAGGGGGGCACCCCAGAGACACAACAAUUGAUCCUUGAGAUCUCUUAGCCGUGUGCGGUGCCCCCUCCACCAUAUUACACCUCGAUAAUACCGUUGCGGAGCUCAGGCGAAGCCCUGCGUCGGUGGAACAUCAUCAUCGUCACCACGCCGUCGUGCUGACGAAACUCUCCCUCAACACCCGGCUGGAUCGGAGUUCGAGGGACGUCAUCGAGCUGAACGUGUGUAGAACUCGGAGGUGCCGUACGUUCGGUACUUGAUCGGUCAGAUCGUGAAGACGUACGACUACAUCAACCGCGUUGUGAUAACGCUUCCGCUGUCGGUCUACGAGGGUACGUGGACAACACUCUCCCCUCUCGUUGCUAUGCAUCACCAUGAUCUUGUGUGUGCGUAGGAAAAUUUUGAAAUUACUACGUUCCCCAACACAAUGAUCUGCAGAGGACAAGUGGUUUAACUUGUCUGAGAAAUUGAAUCAAGGGGAACAGUAUGGUCAGAACCACAUUUGUAAAUGAUCAAACCACGGAUACAAGAACUUAUAACAAGGGGGUAACUAUUUUACGAGAAGCUUCCAUGAUAAGAUUACAUCGUGUCCAUGGGCAUGAACACAAAGUUCAAGGUCGACUCCCACUUCUUUAAUGCAUAACCUUUCAUUCACUUCUCGCCUUCAACGAAGUUGUGUGUUGAAAUUUUAUCUGACAUAACACCAGUAGAGUAUGACCCGUAGUAGUUUCCGGGUUCACACAGAUUAGAGAAGGCAUAUGUCCAACCCAUCGGGGCCUCUUAGGAACAUAUACCACAAACUUCGAGAGUAAUUAUCACUAGCUCGAAAGCUGAGCAUGGUUGAGAAAGUAGAGGAUACCAUUUUGCAAAGACAUUAUGUAUCCUAGGAAAGGCUCACAAGGUUAUUGAAUAUGAAGGACAUUGUCGGAUAAAAUCCAACAAAGGAUCUGGUGGUCCACAAAAGGAUCUGAUGUGAGUAUCGACACACAACCAGAGGAAGAAUCAAUGCAAAGACAUUGGAUUAUAGAAACAACUAAAUAACUUAGAACUCAAUUGUAAAGGAAUUAUGAUUUACAAAGCGAAAGAUCAGAAGCAGACGCUCUGAUCAAGGAUGGAUAAGUUCAAUAGACUUAGGGGCACAAUCGACGACAAUUUGAUUGGCGAGAACCAGCUCAUGCUUAAAAUGACAUCUGAGUCGGAAGGAUGAAUUCUAGUAUCUGUUUGAGGAUUGCGAGCAUUGGCAACAAAUUGAAUUAACGGACUCAAAAUGAUAAUGACAAUGGAUGUCAACAAGAUUACUAGACUUAAGAUUAAUCAUAAUGCAAGUAAGCAAGAAUUUCAAGAGCAAAAAGGCUCCUGAGGAUUUUCGGAAGAUCGAAUGGUAUUUUGAACACUUUUGUGAAAUACUUGAAUCAACUGGGGAUGAGCGGAUACUCGGUAAGUGCGAGAAUUAUCUGUAGGGGUAUUCAGGUGACAAAGAACAGCAAGGCAGUAAGCUCAAAGGAUUCUCGGAACAACAGAGAGAAUUUCGGGGUAUCUUGUAAUAACAAGAUCAACUGGGAAACAUUGUAUGAAUGUCGAGUAUACGUGGUUAUCCAUAGGAGUUUAUCGAUGGAAGGGAAUUGCAAAAGCGAUGAACACAAGUUCUCAGGUUAACAGCGGAGAGUGUCUUCAGGGUCUUCACGUGCAGCAGACGAUCAUCAGUAAUAAGGGGCUCUCCGGGUGAAAGUGAUAACGAGAUCCUAAUGUUAGAUUUAGCAAAACUCAUUUAACCCGAAUAGGAGAGAGUUCAGAGUCCCGGAGUAAAGGUCGAGGAGUAAAAGAUCCUAGUACCACCCAAUGGAGACGUGGGCCCGUAAGCCGCACAACCAUGUUAGUAAAAACUUUUUCAAAGACUAGACUCGACUUCGGCCAAGGACUUGGAAAGGGGGAUUCCUACAAGCAGUCGGCUCUGAUACCAACUUGUGACGCCCCCGAUUCAAUCGUACACUAAUCAUGCACACAAACGUGUACGAUCAAGAUCAGGGACUCACGGAAAGAUAUCACAACACAACUCUAAAACAUAAAUAAGUCAUACAAGCAUCAUAAUACAAGCCAGGGGCCUCGAGGGCUCGAAUACAAGUGCUCGAUCAUAGACGAGUCAGCGGAAGCAACAAUAUCUGAGUACAGACAUAAGUUAAACAAGUUGCCAUAAGAUGGCUAGCACAAAUUGGGAUACAGAUCGAAAGAGGCGCAGGCCUCCUGCCUGGGAUCCUCCUAACUACUACUGGUCGUCGUCAGCGGGCUGCACGUAGUAGUAGGCACCUCCGGUGUAGUAGGAGUCGUCGUCGACGGUGGCGUCUGGUUCCUGGGCUCCAGCAUCUGGUUGCGACAACCAGGUAGAAAGGAAAGGGGGAAAAGAGGGAGAAAAGCAACCGUGAGUACUCAUCCAAAGUACUCGCAAGCAAGGAGCUACACUACAUAUGCAUGGGUAUAUGCAUAACGGGCCAUAUCGGUGGACUGAACUGUAGAAUGCCAGAAUAUGAGGGGGAUAGCUAAUCCUGUCGAAGACUACGCUUCAGGCCACCUCCAUCUUGCAGCAUGUAGAAGAGAGUAGAUGGUAAGUUCACCAAGUAGCAUCGCAUAGCAUAAACCUACCCGGCGAUCCCCUCCUCGUCGCCCUGUUAGAGAGCGAUCACCGGGUUAUAUCUGGCACUUGAAAGGGUGUGUUUUAUUAAGUAUCCGAUUCUAGUUGUCAUAAGAUCAAGGUACAACUCCGGGUCGUCCUUUUACCGAGGGACACGGCUAUUCGAAUAGAUAAACUUCCCUGCAGGGGUGCACCACAUAACCCAACACGCUCGAUCCCCUUUGGCCGGACACACUUUCCUGGGUCAUGCCCGGCCUCGGAAGAUCAACACGUCGCAGCCCCACCUAGGCUCAACAGAGAGGUCAGCACGCCGGUCUAAAUCCUAUGCGCGCAGGGGUCUGGGCCCAUCGCCUAUUGCACACCUGCAUGUUGCGUACGCGGCCGGAAGCAGACCUAGCCCCCUUAAUACAAGCGCGAGCUUACGGUCCAAUGCGGCGCGCGCCACUCAGUCGCUUACGUCAAAAAGAGCUUCGGCUGAUACCACGACGCCGAGUGCCCAUAACUGUUCCCGCGUAGUUGGUUAGUGCGUAUAGACCAAAUGGCCAGACUCAGAUCAAAUACCAAGAACUCGUUAAGCGUGUUAUUAUUAAGUAUCCGCGGACGCCGACCAGGGCCAGGCCCACCUCUCUCCUAGGUGGUCUCAACCCGCCCUGUCGCUCCGCCACAGAGUAACAGUCGGGGGCCGUCAGGAACCCAGGCCCACCUCUACCGGGAUGGAGCCACCUGUCCUUUCAGCCCCCUCAUCAGAAUCGCUUGCGGGUACUCAACGAGCUGACCCGACUUUAGUCACCACAUGAGUCAUGUAUAUAAAGUAUAUAGUAUAUACCCGUGAUCACCUCCCGAAGUGAUCACGACCCAGUAGUAUAGCAUGUCAGACGGACAAGAGUGUAGGGCCACUGAUGGAACACUAGCAUCCUAUACUAAGCAGUAGGAUAGCAGGUAAGGGUAACAACUGUAGCAACAAUGAUAGGCUAUGCAGCAGAAUAGGAUUAACCGAAAGCAGUAACAUGCUACACUCUUCUAAUGCAAGCAGUAUAGAGAAGAAUAUGCGAUAUCUGGUGAUCAAGGGGGGGGGGAUUGCCUGGAAGCUCCGCUGAAAGGGAAGAAGGGUCGUCGUCGACGUAGUCGAUCACAGGGACAUCAGCAGCGGUCUCGGGGUCUACCGGAGAAGAAGAGGGGGCAGAAACAGUAAAUAUAAGGCACACAGAUGCAUGACAUGACAAUAAGCAGUAGUAGGCCUGUUCUAACGUAGCACUACACGGUACCGGCGAAGGGGGAUAACAUCCAGGAAAGUUUUCCCGAAGUUUGUCAUUAUCGGACAGAUGAAACGGAGGGGAAAGGUUGCAUGUUCGCUAUGCUAGGGGCACGUGACAGAUGAACGGAGAGCGUAUUUGAAUUCGUCUCGUCGUUCUGAGCAACUUUCAUGUAUAAAACUUUUUCAUCCGAGUUACGGAUUAUUUUCUAAGAUUUUUCAAAGAUUUAACAAUACCCGGAAAAAUCCUGAAAUUUUGCUAAGUCUGAGAAUUCGUCAGUUUUUAACAUCACUUAGCUGUUUUCAAAAGGCUACAGCUAUUGUUCUGUCUAUCCUGUGAAUUAGUGCCUUAUAUCAAAUCUGAGCACUUUGCUGUGAUCUAAAUGAUAGUAUCAAGUGCAGCUAUGUUAGCAUCCAUUUGCUUGAUCAAAACUUUGUUGGAAAAGUGCUACUUCAACAUUUCUGUUUCUGCUUUUCAGUUAACAGAACGUAGUAAUUUGUGAUUUUUGUAGGAUUUAAUCCACGCAUCAAAUGGACUUGGUCCAGUGGGGUAUACUGAAGCUUGUCAUGUAUAAUUUCUACACAUAUUAUUUUCAGUCAUGUUAACAACUGUUUAACCAUAGUUUAAGGGUUGUCUAGGGGGUUACUCAUUGUAGAUUUAGAAAAGCUAGAACCAUCUACAGUAGCAAGCAGCGGUACAGUAGAGCAGGAGCAAGCAGGCGAGGGCGCUGCAGCAGGGGAGUCAAGGCUGUGCGCGAGGCGGACGGGCGCGCGUACGCGCAGGCGCGGUCGGGGUGCUCCGGCGGGCAGCCAGUAGAGUAGCUGCUUGCGGCAGCGGCAACAGCAAUAGGCAGGGCAAGUAGCAGCGGCAGUAGCAUCAGGUAGCAGGAGCGGCAGCUAGCAGCGGCAACGCAAACCAUUAGCGCUAGCGGCGGCGGCAGCAAAGCGAAGGCAACAACAAGGACAGAGAGCAGUGGCAGGAUGCACGCAUGUACGCGUACGCGUACGCGGGAUCUCGGACGAACUCGGGGAUGACGACUACGGCAACGGAUCGAGAGGGCAAGCAGGGGGAAUGGGGGAGGAGCUCACAGUGCAUCCUUGGCGUGCUCAGGGAGGGUCGGGGUGGACUGGAGCCACAACAACGACGGUGAGUUGGUGACGGCCGGACGAAGGGGACGAAGACAACGUCAGCUCGAGGGCGUCCUGGCUUGAGCUAGUCCCCGGGACGGACGAAGCCGGCCGCGGCGGACCUCCUGGACGUGCCCCCGCACGCCGGAGACGAUGGUGGCCGCGACGAUGACGGCGAGAGGUGUCGGGCGCGAGAGUGGCACANNNNNNNNNNNNNNNNNNNNNNNNNNNNNNNNNNNNNNNNNNNNNNNNNNNNNNNNNNNNNNNNNNNNNNNNNNNNNNNNNNNNNNNNNNNNNNNNNNNNNNNNNNNNNNNNNNNNNNNNNNNNNNNNNNNNNNNNNNNNNNNNNNNNNNNNNNNNNNNNNNNNNNNNNNNNNNNNNNNNNNNNNNNNNNNNNNNNNNNNNNNNNNNNNNNNNNNNNNNNNNNNNNNNNNNNNNNNNNNNNNNNNNNNNNNNNNNNNNNNNNNNNNNNNNNNNNNNNNNNNNNNNNNNNNNNNNNNNNNNNNNNNNNNNNNNNNNNNNNNNNNNNNNNNNNNNNNNNNNNNNNNNNNNNNNNNNNNNNNAAAUAGGCGGGAUGGGGCGCCGAUGGUCGCCACCGCGGCCAUGGCGCCGUGGAUGGCCGCCACGGCAUCGUCUGCUUGUGUAGCGGGAGGAAGGGGAAAACGGGGGGGUGUUGGGCUGGGCUGUGCAGGCCUGCUAGAUAGAUGGGCCACGUGGCCCAAGGGAGGGGGCUUUGUUUUAUUUCUGUUUUCUUUUCUUUUAUUUUCUUUUUACAUGUUUAUUUAACUUCCACAAUACUUUAAUUAGUUAAAAUACAAAAGUAGUUUCUAAAUUAUUGUACUAUUUAUACCUCUGCCACAAAAAGUUCUAGUCCUAAAUAAAAUAGUUUGCUAAUUUAUAAAAUAAGAAAAGGCAUUUAACUAAUUGUUUUAGCUACUGUUUUCAUUAAUUUUGAGCACUUAAACAUUUUAUAAAAAUUUGGUUUCUUUCACAAACAAUACUUUAUGAAUUAUUUACCACAGUUGCACAUUUUAGAUUUGACAUUUGAUAACUUUUAUUGUUUGACUUUAUUUUAAACUUGAAUUUUGAAUUGGUUAGAAUCAACGUGGGACCUAGCAACAGUAAAAGCGAUGACAUGGCAUCAUUAGCAAAGAUUACUGUAGCUUAAUUAUCCGGGCGUUACACUUUCCCGGUUGGCUACGACGGUCAUUUCGUUCAUGUCACAACCUCUCCAUCGACCAAACUCCAUCCUCCUCGGCAGGCGACCCCGAUAACUCCGCAAAUCGAAUCAAACAAGCUCCUCGAGUUUGGUGUGAGUGCUUGAAGAAGACUCUUUGAGAAAGGGUUUCAAAAUUGGAAAACUGACUUUAGACUUUUUACCAAAUCUAUUGAUUGUGAACUCUUUGUGCACUAAAUUCAUGUGUUGAUGAUGAUGAACUCUUUGCUAAACCCCCGCUUUAGCAAAGAAUUCGAUAUCUUUUUUCGAGGAAUCGAGAGGAUCACUGCCUUUCAUUUCGCGGGUAAAUACAUAUUUACAAGAGGUGGACUCGUUUUGAGAAAAAUCGCUCCAAAAACCCGCUAAAAAAACAAGCCACCUAGCGAAUCCCCUUUGGUGGUUGGUAGUUACCCAAAGCCAUUCCCCUCUGCUUGAUGUCCUCAAGGGCCAGCCUUGCAACCUCGAUGUAGGUCAUACGAGUUCUUUUGAAGAUGGGCCUAUUCCUCUCCUUCCAAAUUUUCUGUACCACUGCGCCGACACUUCUCCUCGCGUGAGAACCAAGAAAUCAUGCCACUGCACCAUUCCACAUUGACAGGAGCAUGCCGCAUGACGAGAACAACUCUCCAUGCAGUUUCUGACCACCAAGGAGAAAGGGCAAUCCUUGCACAGGUGGGUCGCCAUUUCCGAGGAGUUUAGGCAAAGAUGGCAUCUAGUAUCAUUUUGAAUUGUUUUACUUUAUUUUUUUUAAUAUUCACGUGGGUGCAUUUGAGUUAGAGUGUAGAAACUCGAUGUCGCUCUUGAUUGGGCUCCCUAUUGCACGCCAUUGCAUUUCUUUCAUGUUGUUCUCGUUCGGUUGCCUACCACAUGGCCGUUGUAGCGUAUUUUUUAUUUGUAAAAGAUAGCUUGGUUGUAUGAUAGAUUUAAAAAAUAUAUAGAUUGAAAAUUUUCAUGUAUUUUAAAAGAUGUCCAUGAAUUUUUAAAAUGUUCAUGAACUAAAAAAAUAUUCACAAAAUUAUAAAAAUGUUCAUGGGCUUAUAAAUUGUCAAAAAAUAAAAACUAUCCAUGGAUUUGGAAAAUAUUCACAAAUCUGAAAACUGUUCACGAAUUUUAAAAACAUUCACUAAUUUUGAAAGUUUUUUAAAUAUAUUUGGAAGUGUUUAAAAAAUUUAAAACUAAAACCAAAGAAAAAUGAAAAAGGGAAGAUAAAAAUAAUAAAAAAGAAAACCGGCAAAACUGUUGAGAAACAUCGGAAAAAAAGAGAAAAAAAGGGCGAAGAACCUGCUAGAACGUUUUCGAAACAGUUUGUCUAAUUCACAUCUAGAUGUUUUCUAGAAAUGUCACAUCUGAACUCCCACAACUAACAUAGCAACAAGAAACAGAAAAAAAGUUGGGACAAAAAAAAUUAGACCACAAACAUAGUGGACAUCAGGUUAUAUGCGACAUAAUUAUGUCACAUCUAGAUGUGUUAUAGACAGACCCUUCUCGAAAACCUGCUCUGGGGGUUACAGGGGUCAGGCCCAGUACUGUCCAGGAUGUGCGUUUUGUACCAUUUACACAUUAUAUUAUUCCUCGCCUUAAGCUCUAAAUAGGAUUUUCGCUGUUUAAAACCCUCCGGGCUCGCCAUUCAGGCUUUUCCACGGUGUCGCGGCCGCCACGGAAGGACCGCCCGGCCCAGAGCAGACUCACCCUGCAUCCAUCUAUCUCCCCUAAAACCCUAAAAACACGAGAAGCCCUACUCUGCCUCUCCUCCCCCGAAUUGCCGCCUCUCCUCCACCGGAGAGAGAAGCCAAGGAAGGAUGCCGCGGAUCACUUCGGUGGAGAGCCCCGGCUGCCCGCCGCUCCGCGCCAUCACCACCGACAUCCUCGGCCUCAUCAAAGGUACUGCCGCCUUGCCCGAAUUCGCCGCCUCCCCUCCGCCGCCACCUGCUGCUCACUGUUCCUUCUCCGUUUUAAUCCCGGCGCAGUCGUCGAGGCCCGCACUAGACCGGCGGGCGUCGCCAAGGUCGUCGAGACGUGGGGCGAACCCGACGCCUCCAGGGCCAUCCUCGUCGCUUCACUCGCCGACCGAGCCGUCGACCCCGUCAGUCCCCCUCUACCAGCUCAGCUCAGCUCUCUCUCAUGAGCUCUUGGUCCAUCACGGUUGCUCAUUCCUAUAAUCGCGAUUGUCUAUUGUGUUGCGUUUUGCAGGUUUUGGCUGUGGCAAGGAAGAACGGUGUGGUGAGUGACUGCUGCUUCUCAGAGUUGGGACGCUUACCUUGUGUGUCUUUCAGUUGGUUGUUAAUUCCAAAGGUUUUUGUGUAGGUUGAGUUGCUGAAUCCCCUGAAUGGUGAUGCUCUGGCCGCUUUCAAGUUCUCUAGGACAGACCAAACUGUCGGAGCUGUGGAAAAUGAUCCCCUAGUCGCCCUGCACCUCUUCAGAAAACAUGCACCAGACUUAACCACGUAAUUUUCACAUGCUGAUAAUUUUCCCCGUAAUAGAUAUCUUACAACACGUCUACACCUGUAUUAAGUUCCAUAUCAUUGAAAAGUUCAUUGCUCUUCUGCAUUUUGGUGAUAUUGGCCAAAUUGUAUUUACAUUUAGUUGCUCGUUGCAGGUUAGGUACAUUUCUUGCUUGUACGGAGAAGGGCAAAGCAAGUGUGAGAUCUGUUGCAAAAGAAAACACGGCAUCUGACUCGGAUGUUGGGCCAUCAAGCACUUGGGACGUGUGUAACAAGGGUACAUUGCAGUUUUCAUCUGUGGAUGCUGGUGAAAACUAUGCAAUGUUCGGAGGGUGAGUUGACUAUAACCUCUAGCAUGCGAUUGCCUAAUACUGUGGCUGCAUUCCUUUUAUUUACCAGCUUUUCUGUAUGAGAUGUGAAAAUCAUUUAGGAAAUUUGUGGCGUUUUAACAGUUAUUUCAUUCAUUUUAGGAAUGGUAUGGAAGUAAACUUGUGGGAUAUCACAUCUUGUAGUAAGAUGUGGUCUGCUAAAUCUGUAAGUACCAAUCUGUUUUUUUUUUCUUAUUAGCUGAUAUAUUAGCAAACUAUUGUCCAUGUUAACUUUAUUUUGAUCUCACAGCCCCGAGCUAACAACGUUGGUAUAUUUACCAAACCUUGGUUCACUGCUGGAACUUUCCUGUGCAAGGAUGAUCACCGUAAAAUUGUAGCCGGCACAAAUAAUCAUCAGGUACCAUAUCUCAUCACUGUUAUGCUAACAGAACUCCAAAUUUAAUCUUUUAUGGAUAAAAUUUGCUCAAUGUUUGUGUUAGAAUUCAACAAAUUUAACCAGUUCAGCUCUCUGGCUGCAACGCUGCUGUUGAUGGGGUUUUGUUAUGAUGUGUCUGUUACAUCUGUGUAGUCCCCUCAUAGAUUGUAAAUAAUGAAACCAUUUCAUUUGCUUAAUUGACGUGUUUCUACUUCCUUUUAUGCUAGGCAGUGACUAGCUGUGGAUGUUUGCUACGAUCAUUUGCAUCUGUAAUAUAUUAUGCUGCACUGAUGAUGACUGCUCAACUUCACUAACAACUAAUGGUGUUUUCAUUUUGUGUUUGCCAGGUUCGCUUAUACGAUACUGCUUCGCAAAGAAGACCUGUUGUUUCAGUUGAUUUUAGGGAGUCACCAAUCAAGGCAGUUGCAGGGGAUCCAGAUGGACAUACUGUCUAUAUUGGGACAGGAACAGGAGACCUCGCUUCCUUUGACAUGAGAACAGGUAUGAUAAACAGAUGGUGUGCAGUAUCUUUUAAUGGAACUGAGUAUUUUUGGAACAUGUUCCUUUUCUAGUGUUAAAAUAGCUUAUAUUCAGUUUAGGUAACUACUGAAUUUUGAAGAUUUGAAUUUCGAGAUAGACCUGUGUUUUCUUAAACUUCAACCCAUGUGUCACAAGUCUACUCCUAUUUAAUCAUCAGAUCCACUUCAUGUUUGCUGUUUUGUAUAGGCAAUAAUGGUAUGAAGUACCUAUAUUGGUCUGUUCUUUAUUUUAUUUUGUCUACUAAUCGACAGAUAGUUAGUGACAUGCAGUUGCAGCUAAUGGAAAUGGUAGAGCUGAAAUAUUUAUCAGCAUUUCUACAUGUUAGAGUUCGAUAUAUAAUCUUUAACUGAUCGGAGAUUGCGUAGCACUUAGUUUAUUAUUAAAUAAAAUGACAUGGACAAAUGAUUAUGGCUAAUAACAACCCAAGGUACAAUGUAUGCGAGUAUAGCUUAUUUUACAGUGUUGUGAUUGGUGUGUACCUUUUUUACAGGAAAACUACUCGGAUGCUAUGUUGGUAAAUGCAGUGGAAGUAUUAGAUCGAUAGUUAGGCAUCCGGAGCUGCCUUUGAUAGCAUCUUGCGGUGAGUAAUAAAUUUUCAUUUAUUUCAGAUUGAUUUAUUUUGAAUGCAACAUAUAGUUUUAUGUUCCCUCAAUUUUGUUGUGCACUUUUACUUUUUAUUGGCUGUCUUUGUUUGUACUUCUUUGAACUAACUCAGGAUAUUAUUUUGGUCUUUGUAGGAUUGGACAGCUACUUGCGAAUCUGGGAUACAAAUACAAGGCAGCCGCUUUCUGCGGUAUGUCUAAAAUUAAUUUCAUAGCAUUCAAAUUAAGCUUGAAGCUUGUUGUUGCUCCUUGCAAAAUUGAUGCUAUUUUUAUUCAUAUUGCUCUAAUUGUUUUCUGGUCCAUUUUGACAUGUGUGUAUAUAAAUGAAUUUAUUAUAGUGAGCAUGAAGAUAUCAUUGACUAGCCAAAUAUGUUAUGACUUAAUCUUGGGCUACUCUUUAUUACUCCCUCCGUAUCAAACUAUAAGAUGCUUUUUAGGCUAAACUAGCCUACAAAAACCUCUUAUAUUUUGGUACAGAGGUAGUACCUAAAAAACAUAUAAUCCUAAAAUCGAGUGUGCAAGUUCAUUUAUACAUGUCGGUGUAUAUGAUAGAUGAUUUUGCGUUUCUAUCUUGGCUAACCUUGUACUCUAGUUAAUUGGCCUUUAGUGAUCUUACUACUGGUUAUACACCAUGGUUCUUCAUUUUAAACUCUUCAUGAUCUAACACAUGUUCAUUGGUUGGUAACAGGUCUAUCUCAAGCAGCACCUCAUGACAGUGGUUAUUGAUUCACAUUUCUCAGCUGAAGGUUUGUCUCUCUCUCUCUCUCUCUCUCUCUCUCUGCGGGGGAGUUAUGUAUUUUCAGUAGCUAUUCUAGGUUAUGUGCUCUGUUUUCCGUUGUUGUUGUGGUAAGUCAGAUGUGAGAGUGGCCAUUGUUUUUUACAUUCAUGUUAUCUUGAAUGGUGCUUGUUGUAAUGGGCAAAGUGCUUCCUUUAGGACUGAAACAUGUUGACUUGUUAAAUUUCAUUGGAUGUGGAACUGAUAAUUAUAGUUAGGAAAGUAUUGCUUCUUUUUACUCGGAACACUUCUGAGUUCUGACCUGUAAUCUUAAAAUGGCGUACGUCUUAACUGCAUCUUGAUGAAUGCCUUGAGGUUUGAGGUACUGUGCUAACACUACUGUUGUGUCUAGAAUCUGAGGAGACUAAAUCCAAGCAGCCAGAUUCUUCAAUGGUGGCUGAAGCUGCAGUCAGAAGGGAAAAAAAGAAAAAGAAGAAUGUAUUUGUUGAAGAGGAUGAAGAAGGAACUCAAAUGGUGGACCCUGAUGACUGUGAUGCUGAAGCAGUCAGAAAGGAAAAGAAGAAAAAGAAGAAGAAAACUGUUACAGAGGAUGAUGAAGAAACACAAAUGGUCGACCCGGAUGAAGGCGAUGCUGAAACAGUCAGAAAGGUAAAGAAGAAAAAGAAGAAUAGAAGGGUUGCAGAGGAUGAGGAAGGAACUCAGAUGGCUGACCUUAAUGACAGUGAUGCUGAGAUGUAUGCCCCAAAGAGAAUAAAAUCUGAAUCUGGCGAAAGAAGCAAAGGCACGAAAAAGAAAAGCAAGAAGCAACAAGUUGCCUAGGACAUUUGGUGUGCUGGAAUUAUUGACGUCUGACCAUGGUGCUUGCCUUAGUGAAUUUGUAAAAGAAUGCCUUUUAAGUACAAGUUCAUUCAAACUUGAACGGUAUGGUUCAUUUGUAACUUUUCCUUGAAAUAUUACCUGCUGUUUUACAAUAUUAUGAUAAGUUAUUUGAAAAUAUUAUCAAACUUGAACGGUAUGGUUCAUUUAUACUAUCAUCUGACUCUGUGUUCUCAUCUUGGUUAGUUUGUACCGAAGUAGCAAUGGUCUAGUUGAGCGUGGACAACGUCAGUCCUGUUGGUGUAGUGAAAUUAAUGCAAGUUCCUGGACAUUUGAAAUUUGAACUAUUUUUGGCUGAAAUGUGUAGGAUCUCUGCCAAUGGAUGUAAGAUAAUAAGUAUGUAUGCAAGUGUUGGGUGAACAUAUAAGAUGCGGAGUCGUGUUGCAGACGAGGUUAAAGACCAUUUUGAUAAUUUCAUGAGACAAGUUGACCAAAAUUGAUUUUUAUACACUUCAUCUCUCCAUAUGAAUAGUGCUUUUCUCAUAUGAGCCUUUGCUCUCACCUGUAUAAACUAGUAUUAACUUAUCUCCAUAUGGAAUCAGGGAAGGAUUCUGUCAAUCUUAUUAUGAGACAGCCAAGCCAUAUAAUUUUCCGCCAUCUUUCUUUGCUACCACAGUCAUGUGACUGCCAAACAGCCCAACUGUGCUGGAUAACUUGCUGAAUCAAACAGCUUGAGAUCGCCAUCCCAGCUUUCAGCUAAGGCGAUGUCAUGAUUCUCAACUCCAGGAUCAGGGAUGAUGAAUUCAUCAAAGUCGGAUAACGUUUUCAACUGCGCGCUUAGUGACGCUAUUGUUUUCUGGCAGUCUGCUAGUUUCCCCGCAGCACGAGCUAGCUCUUUCUCCUGUAGAAACCAGUUACUCAUCAGUAACAUAACUUAAAAGUCCUCAACUUUUCAUCACCAGACUUGGUUGCGAUAAUAAAGAGAUACCGUAAAAUUUACCUUUGUGAUGUGCAGGUCUGUACUUGCCAUAGGUUGCACUUCCAUUGGUUUUGGCUGAUGAACUGGAGCUCUGCUGCACAACUCCUGUUUCAAGUCAUGGCAUUGCGCGGCGAACUCCGACGAUUCCGCUCUCUCUUUGAGAAUUUGUUCCUCAAGCAAGUAAAUCUUUCUGUGCGAUUCCUCUGCUUCUUUCUCUUUGAGCUCGAACUGGUUCGUCAUUUUCUUCUUCUGGGCUUCUGAAGCAUCCAGUGCAGUUAUGUAGGCUGAUGACAAGUUCUUCUGUGUCUCCAAUUUCAUUUCCAACUGGCCGGCAUUCUCCUUCAAGCUCUUGAUUUCAGCUUGCGCCGACUUGAGUUGAGAUUCCAGUUCUGCAAUAAACGGUUCUCGUUUCUCCAGAGUCUCUUCAAGCAUGUUAACCUUCUCAUUCAGGGCAAAGACAUCUGAAUUGGCAGCCUGGAGUUGAGAUCUGAGCUCAUCUCUCUCUGCUUCCAGUGCUUGGAGAUCGCGGCACCGCUUUGCGGAUUCAACAGACAAUGCCUUAUCUUGCUGCUCCAGGCUACGCACCUUCUUUUGGAAUGAGACAAUUUCUUGUCCCGCCAGCUCCAGCUCAAUCUCUGCACCCUUGACCUUUGCUUCCAGAGCUUCGACGGCACGGCAUUUCUCUGUGAGCCUCCUCUCUAGCAGGGUGAUCUUGUCGCUGUAUUUUCUGGCGUCAGACUCGAGCUGAGCGCGCAGCUGUUUCGUCUCCGACUCGAGCGCAUCCAUCUGCUGGUAUUUUGCCGCGAGCUCCAGCGUUAGCGCCUUCUCCGAGUCCAGCCGUUCCUCCAGGAUGCGCCCCUUGUCCAACAGGCUCGUGAUCUCGCCAUGGGCCAGCUCAAGUCUACACUCCAGAUCGUUCCUCUUCCUCUCCGCGUCUUGCAUUUCGGCCUCCAUGGCGUGCCUCUCUCCAUUGACGAGAUUCAGCUGCCUCUGCAUCUCAGCUGAUCUCUCCUCUGCCACCAUUGCCCGAUGGCGGCAAGCCCUCAGCUCGCGCUGGGCUUCGUGCAAGGCUUUGUCCUUGUCGGCCACCAGCUUCCUGGCCUUCUCCUCUAGCUUCACCAGCUGACCACCGGUGUCCUCGGCAUAAUUGCUGCUCCUCGAGACGGCGCCGUUGGCUGACGCAAGCUUCUCCAUCUCAAGGAAGUCAUCUAUCACACCGAUGUCGACUGCGGUUGCUAGGCUUGCACUCCUUGUCUCGGUCUUGUACUGGUCGAGCUCGGUGAUGAGAGCCGAUGCCCAUGAGUCGGAGCAGUCCGACUGGCAGUCCGUCACCGACUCGGUACAGAGGGAGCUCGGAGUGCGCCUGAGGUCGCUGCUGAAGGAGGGCCUACGUGCAGUGGCCUGCCCAAAACUCCAGAGACGUUAGCUUCCAACACAGGAGGACAAGAACCGUCCUCUUCACAUAAUAUGAUGCCUCCAAUGGCGCCAAAGCACACAAAGAACGAAGGAUGUGAUCACCUGCAGUUUUCUGCACUCGGCUUCAAGCUUGGCCGCCUUCCUGAUGCUCUCGAGCUGCUGCUUGCUGGCCGCCUCUGCCGCCCUCCUGUUGAGCUCCUUCUCGAUGGUCCUGAGCCCCAGUUCCUCCGUCUUGGCGAGCAGCUGCGCCUUGAGAGCCGAAUUCUCCUUCUCCAGAGAGGCCAGCCUGGAGUUGGCAUCGCCGUCACUGGUCACCGAGCGCUCCGACUUGGCUUCCAGCUUGGCCUUGAGCUCGACAACCCGCAGCUCUAGGUCGGUCUUGUCUGACUCCCACUGCCGAGACUGCAGUGCCAGCGCGCCCUGGACUUUUUGGUCCUGCUCUUCCUUGGCGCGCCGGAGCUGCCGGACGCAUUCCUUGAGCGCGCCAUCCAGCGUUGCGUUUUUGACAGUUGCAGCAUUCAGCUGGGCUUUCAGCGAUGCCAUCUCGUUUUCGGCCUUCUCCCAUCCUGGUGCAAGAAAUGCAUGCAGAAUCUGCUUGUGAAUAAUGUUCAAUCAAAGGCCAUAGAGAUGCAUGCUACUGCAUACCUAGUAAUUUUGUGUGCUGCUUAAUGUUCUUGUUCAGUCAUGUUUAAUUUAACUGCAUACCUAGAACAGCUUCUUCGGCAACUUUGGAAUGCUGCUUCACGAGAUCAUCUUUGGCACGAAUAUCCGAUACCACAGAGGAAAGCCUCUCGCUCAGCACCUUGACUUUCACAUUGCUGUUGUCCUGUGCUUCCUUGGAUGCGACCUCCGGCGAUUUCGGGGAACUCUUGAGGGUGGUAUCCUAAUCAAAGAGGAGACAAACAAGCAGAGUCAAAAUUGUUGCCCCGACAGAAAGAAGAAGCAAACAUUGGUUAGACUAACUUGGCUCAUUUUUUUCAGCUUGUAUGGAGAAUGUUUAAUGCAUAAGCUCAAACUGUGGGCAGCCCGGCACUUGUUCCUCACUGUUGCAUUAGAGUAUUGGAGGGAGGGAGAAAGACAGCCUUGGUCAAAAGACUGCAAGCGAGGGCAGCAGCAGCACAAUCAAGUAGCAGUGGUGCACAUGAAGAGAGCUGGAAUCUUGAUUGCUCUCUCUCUCUCUGCGCCAGCAAGCAUUAUGAGCCAUUUGUGUUGGGCCAAAGGUGAUGGUGCAGCACAUGGAGUGGCCACCAGAAAAACUGCAUCUUGCCCUUGUUGCAGCCAUAAUGUUGGCAGAGAAAAGAGAGUGCCAACUAACACAUCAUCCUUUCCUUGGUAUGCAUCCAUGGAUAGGUAAGGUAGGCUUGUCCUGUUAGCCACGCUGGUACAGGGACAAUAGGACCCCUUACCAUUCCCUUCCCUGCUUCAGUUGGAGGCCUACUAAAAUUGCCACACAGCCAUGAAGAUUGGUCAAUGUUGCCAACCAAAGCAUCAAAUGAGAUUGAAUCCUGCAGCCCAUUAUUGUCAUGUGGCUGAGAUGAAUUGUGUGCCUGUACUAAGGUGGUAUGGUAGAGCUGCUGUUCGGUGGUCUACGGCGUGUAUCCUAGUAUUACCAUUUACCAGAGAGGAGACUAAGACAAAAAAAAAACAUUUAAAAGAGAAAAUUUUAUUCCCCAAAGAAUGACAAGCAAUCUGGCUCUCUUAUAUAUGCUGAUGAAUUCUGAUCCAGCAUUGGGAAUCUCUAUUUAGCCCUAUCCGUUACGUUAUGU